rnacentral:rRNA from 1 species
AUUGAACGCUGGCGGAAUGCUUUACACAUGCAAGUCGAACGGUAGAGGGGGCAACCCCUCGAGAGUGGCGAACGGGUGAGUAAUAUAUCGGAACGUGCCCAGUCGUGGGGGAUAACGUAGCGAAAGUUACGCUAAUACCGCAUACGAUCUAAGGAUGAAAGCGGGGGAUCGCAAGACCUCGCGCGAUUGGAGCGGCCGAUAUCAGAUUAGGUAGUUGGUGGGGUAAAGGCUCGCCAAGCCAACGAUCUGUAGCUGGUCUGAGAGGACGACCAGCCACACUGGAACUGAGACACGGUCCAGACUCCUACGGGAGGCAGCAGUGGGGAAUUUUGGACAAUGGACGCAAGUCUGAUCCGGCCAUUCCGCGUGCAGGAUGAAGGCCCUCGGGUUGUAAACUGCUUUUGUACGGAACGAAAAGGUCUCUCUUAAUACGGGGGACUCAUGACGGUACCGUAAGAAUAAGCACCGGCUAACUACGUGCCAGCCGCCGCGGUAA